UACGUAGGGCGCAAGCGUUAUCCGGAAUUAUUGGGCGUAAAGAGCUCGUAGGCGGCUUGUUACGUCGUUCGUGAAAACUUGGGGCUCAACUCCAAGCUUGCGGUCGAUACGGGCAGGCUAGAGUUCGGUAGGGGAGACUGGAAUUCCUGGUGUAGCGGUGAAAUGCGCAGAUAUCAGGAGGAACACCGGUGGCGAAGGCGGGUCUCUGGGCCGAUACUGACGCUGAGGAGCGAAAGCGUGGGGAGCGAACAGG
rnacentral:rRNA from 1 species